AAGGGACCUGCUUUCUUUGGGACCUUAGUUGAUUCCAGAAGUUCAAGAUCUCUGUGUAGUCACAGAGCAGGGUGGGAGCAGAAGCAGCUCCGACACUCACUCAGCUCCGCAGCCUCGGGGAAGGAGACGCAGCCCAAGAACUGGAGCCCGGCGACCGAGACUUGCGGGUGCGCUUGCGCGGCAAGGGGGCGGGGCCGGGGCGGGGCCGUGCGCGGCGUCUGGAACGCAGGGGACGGCGGCAGCGGCACCGGCGGGGUUCGGGUUGCGCGCGGGCAGCGGGUUCGCGGCUCUGGGCCGGCACAGGAAUACCAGCGCCUGAGGCCAGGCCUGCAGCCGGUGACUUCACGGCCGGGCGGCGACGCUGCUGCGGCGGGGCCCGGGCGCGCAGCCUGGGGGCGGAGGACGGGACGCCGCGGGCCGGCGCGCCAGGCUUCCUUUUUCUGACCCUGCUACUUGUUACACGGGACUCUCUUCAAAGGAGAAGGUUCAGCACCUGACUGGAGAGAGGAGCCCCAUGUGAAGAUAAAGCUGUCUGUAUGGAAGGACUGUGUCUUCAACCCAAGCCCUGAGCUGUGGUAUCAUGGUUGCAUCAUCAGGUGGAGCAUGGGGUUUCUGGUGAGGAGUUUGAUGCUGCUUUGGUUACUACAUGAGAUGCCUCUGGAGGUUCAUGUGGUCUGCUUCCGUCCAACCCCUUUCCUGUCCUAGUGGGGAUGUCUUCCUCUCUCCUGUUCGAAACUAGGACUUCACAUCUCCUUGCC
rnacentral:lncRNA from 1 species